rnacentral:rRNA from 1 species
ACGCUCGACACCUACGGGGGGCAGCAGUCGGGAAUAUUGCGCAAUGGAGGAAACUCUGACGCAGUGACGCCGCGUAUAGGAAGAAGGUUUUCGGAUUGUAAACUAUUGUCGUUAGGGAAGAGAAAGGACAGUACCUAAGGAGGAAGCUCCGGCUAACUACGUACCAGCAGCCGCGGUAAUCUGAGCGGGCUGGCAAGGC